rnacentral:misc_RNA from 1 species
GUGAAGAACGCAGCGAAAUGCGAUAAGCAAUGUGAAUUGCAGAAUUCAGUGAAUCAUCGAAUCUUUGAACGCACAUUGCGCCCCUUGGUAUUCCGAGGGGCAUGCCUGUUCGAGCGUCAUUAUAACCCCUCAAGCUUAGCUUGGUGUUGGGGCCUGCUGUAAUAGAGCAGCCCUUAAAAUCAGUGGCGGUGCCAUUAGGCUCUAAGCGUAGUAAUUCUUCUCGCUAUAGGGUUCUGGUGGAUGCUUGCCAUUAACCUCUAAUUUUCUAUGGUUGACCUCGGAUCAGGUAGGGAUACCCGCUGAACUUAAGCAUAUCAAUAAGCGGAGGA